GGACUACUGGGGUAUCUAAUCCCGUUCGCUCCCCUGGCUUUCGUGCCUCAGCGUCAGACAAGAUCCAGUGUGUCGCUUUCGCCACCGGCGUUCCUUCCGAUAUCAACACAUUUCACCGCUCCACCGGAAGUUCCACACACCCCUAUCUCACUCCAGCUCGCCAGUUUAGGGCGCAAUUCCCCGGUUGAGCCGGGGGCUUUCACACCCUACUUAACAAGCCGCCUACGCACCCUGUAAGCCCAGUGAUUCCGAAUAACGUUCGCACAGUUCGUAUUACCGCGGCUGCUGGCAC
rnacentral:rRNA from 3 species